GGGGAGAAGGGGUCGCUAUCGUACAGUGCCAGGACGGCGGCGCCAUAUCCGGCAAAACACGAGACCUCGCUGGUGUUCGUCAUUUCGGCGAACCCGAGCAUCAUCGGUCAAAAUAGAAGCACAGGGAGGGAUAGAUGGGCACGGCAAACUCGGCCAUGGAGUCGGGACGAGCCUCGAGGGCUUGGUGGCGGUGCUACGCUCAAAUUGGCAGCUCGGUUUCGACGGCGACGACAUACGAGCGACGCGAAGCAAGAGAGAGCAAGAGCAGAGCACCAUGAGCUCUCUUACCAACUUCCGAGGCUCGGCAAUCGGCUCAAGACGGCGGUGAAACGUCGGGUGAGUAGAUCGAGCGGCGACGGCGGCUUAGGGUUUCGGUGGUGGCGCAGGAGAGCUCUGAGGGCGCGGCUGCUGCGGCUAAAGCUCGGGAUGGAGGCUCGGGUUUUAUAGCCCGGAGGUGGCGGCAUCGAUGGAAUGGGGAGAUCGGUUCGAGCUCGAUCUCGGCCAGAAAAGGAACGCGCCGGCUUGCUCUGCUAGGGUUUGGAGCGCCGCGAGCUUGAGGCG
rnacentral:lncRNA from 1 species